rnacentral:lncRNA from 1 species
UUAAACUAAAAACAUCUAAAUUUAAAUUACUUUGUACUUUAGAAUUUAAAAUUUAAUUUUGAUCCACUAUAAUUAAUUUUUUAAUUAUUAACUCCAAUGGAUAUAAAAAAUUAAAUUAAAUUUAUGAUAUAAACUUAAUUUUUAAUUUUAAUUUAAGUAGAUAGAUAUGAAUACUAUUUUUUAACAGAUUAAUCAUAACCUUCGUUUUUAUUUGAGAUAUUUCUUUUGAUUCCGUCUGUCAUUUCNUCUAUAUAUAUAUAUAUAUAUAUAUGAGUAGGGCUACUAUACUCAGUAUUGGGUCCUUUAUACUCAUAAGUUGUUUUCAAUGAUGGAGCUUCCAAAUCGAUGAUCCACUCCGUUAAAUAUGAUAGAGUAUUUCAAACUUUUAGAAAAAGAAUUUCGUAAUUUUUUGAAAUCAUAAUAAAAUCCAUCAAGCGGUAUAAAAUGAACGGUCAAAAUCGAACGACAACUUAAAAAUGGAUGAUCGGAUCCUUCAAUUUAAGAUCGGAGUUAUUGAUCUUUAUUUAUGUAGUGAAUACAAUUUUCUAUCAAAAAUUCAACCGAUUUCGAUUCUUUUACACCGUUAAACUAGCAAAUAUUUCAUACCGGUCGUUAAAAAUUGUCAAUUUUGUGACCUUUUGAUUAAGGUAAAUGAUGUCGAAAAAUUAUAAAAUUUGAUUUCUAGACGUUUUAAAUGCGCUAGAUAAUGUUUAACGGUGUGGAUCGUCAAUUCGGAAGCUCUAUCAUCGAAAAUAACUUAUGAGUACGAGGGUGAUCGUACUCAUAAUAGUAUAGUAGCCGGACUCUAUGGGCGUGUUUAGUUCGCUUCUUUUUCACCCUAGAAUCGGAGUCGGAAUGGGUGAAUUCGUUUGUAGGUGUUUGAUACGCAGUAGUCCCAUUCCGAUUCCGAUUCCCGAGUGGAAUGUGAAUCCCCCAAUCACCUUAUUUUUUAAUCGGCCUAGGAGGUAGGAUUGAAAGUUGAAUCCGGACGGAAUGGAUAUUUAUUCGGAUUAAAUUUAUUUUUUCAACUUUUUUAAUUAAAAUAUGAGUUAAAAUUUAAAAAUUAAAUAUAUAAUUUUAAAUUUUAAUUUAAACUUAAAUUAAAAAUCAAAAUUUAAUCAAGUAUUUCGAAUCUAACUUAUGAAUUUGAAUUUAAAUUAAAUUUUAAUUUAU